UGCUUUCAAAAAUAAACUUUAUUAUCAACAGUAACAAGAUUUUAGAAGAUAACAAAGCUUGUAGAUAUUUUAAAUAUCUUUUUGUAGAAACUACAGUGUCAAAAUAAAUCAAGAUCAGGCUGAAGAUAAGUGCUUACUACCACAUUUUGCGCCUUUUUUUCAUGAAAAACUAUUCAUUAAAAAAUGCAUCUGAUAUAACAAAAAAGAUAUCAUUGUUAUUGUGAUUAGACAGAAUGGCAUUUUAUUGUUAAUAUAAAGUUUCAGGUCUCUCAGCUUUGGUAUUGCUUAUUAUGUGUCAUGUGAGAAUAGUUGAAAUUAUGUUUAAUAUAAAAAAUACCAAAUUUAUUUUUCCUAGACACUUAAAUAUUAAUUUGCAAUGUUGAUGUGAAAAAAAGAAAGUAAAAUGUGUAACAUAUUCUUUAUAGUAUAUUUUGUAUAUACUUUAUUUUAUAGAUUUUAAAACACACAAAAACUACUGUGAAGUGCAUUUUUAAUAUCAUUAUGCAUCUCUCUGUUAUACAUAUAUCAGCAGUGGUUUUAAAAAAUAAAAAAAAUUACCUUUUGCAUAGUUAAAAUUCAUAAAUUCAAUCCUUAAAAAAAUUAUAAAAGGUGUUAUGAACUGGGUAAACAUUUUCCACUUUAUCCUGACUAUGAGUCUU
rnacentral:lncRNA from 1 species